rnacentral:rRNA from 1 species
UACGGAAUGUGCAAACGUUAUUCGGAAUCACUGGGCUUAAAGAGUCCGUAGGCGGCCUAUUAGGUGAGGUGUGAAAUCCCCCGGCUCAACCGAGGAAUUGCGCUUCAAACCGGCAGGCUAGAGGAGGAUAGAGGUGGGCGGAACUGAUGGUGGAGCGGUGAAAUGCGUUGAUAUCAUCAGGAACACCGGGAGCGAAAGCGGUCCACUGGGUCCUUUCUGACGCUGAGGGGCGAAAGCUAGGGGAGCGAACGGG